rnacentral:rRNA from 1 species
GACGAACGCUGGCGGCGUGCUUAACACAUGCAAGUCGAACGGAAAGGCCCUGCUUUUGUGGGGUGCUCGAGUGGCGAACGGGUGAGUAACACGUGAGUAACCUGCCCUUGACUUUGGGAUAACUUCAGGAAACUGGGGCUAAUAUCGGAUAGGAGCUCCUGCUGCAUGGUGGGGGUUGGAAAGUUUCGGCGGUUGGGGAUGGACUCGCGGCUUAUCAGCUUGUUGGUGGGGUAGUGGCUUACCAAGGCUUUGACGGGUAGCCGGCCUGAGAGGGUGACCGGCCACAUUGGGACUGAGAUACGGCCCAGACUCCUACGGGAGGCAGCAGUGGGGAAUAUUGCACAAUGGGCGGAAGCCUGAUGCAGCAACGCCGCGUGCGGGAUGACGGCCUUCGGGUUGUAAACCGCUUUCGCCUGUGACGAAGCGUGAGUGACGGUAAUGGGUAAAGAAGCACCGGCUAACUACGU